rnacentral:rRNA from 1 species
UACGUAGGGUGCGAGCGUUAAUCGGAAUUACUGGGCGUAAAGCGUGCGCAGGCGGUUCGUUAAGUUCGUUGUGAAAGCCCCGGGCUCAACCUGGGAACUGCAAUGGAAACUGGCGGGCUUGAAUGCGGCAGAGGGGAGUGGAAUUCCGCGUGUAGCAGUGAAAUGCGUAGAUAUCGAGAGGAACACCUGCGGCGAAGGCGGGUUGCUGGGCUGACACUGACGCUGAGGCGCGAAAGCUAGGGGAGCGAACGGG